rnacentral:rRNA from 1 species
CCUACGGGUGGCAGCAGUAGGGAAUCUUUCACAAUGGGCGAAAGCCUGAUGGAGCAACGCCGCGUGCAGGAUGAAGGCCUUCGGGUUGUAAACUGCUUUUAUAAGCGAGAAAUAUGAUGGUAACUUAUGAAUAAGGAUCGGCUAACUACGUGCCAGCAGCCGCGGUCAUACGUAGGAUCCGAGCAUUAUCCGGUGUGACUGGGUGUAAAGAGUUGCGUAGGUGGCAUAAUAAGUAGCUAGUGAAAUCUGGUGGCUCAACCAUUCAGACUAUUAGCUAAACUGUGAAGCUCGAGACCGUUAGGGGUAACAGGAAGUUCUAGUGUAGGAGUGAAAUCCGUAGAUAUUAGAAGGAACACCGAUGGCGUAGGCAGGUUGCUGGGACGGUUCUGACACUAAGGCACGAAAGCGUAGGGAGCAAACGGGAUUAGAUACCCCAGUAGUC